UGCCAGCAGCCGCGGUAAUACGUAGGUGGCAAGCGUUAUCCGGAAUUAUUGGGCGUAAAGCGCGCGUAGGCGGUUUUUUAAGUCUGUUGUGAAAGCCCACGGCUCAACCGUGGAGGGUCAUUGGAAACUGGAAAACUUGAGUGCAGAAGAGGAAAGUGGAAUUCCAUGUGUAGCGGUGAAAUGCGCAGAGAUAUGGAGGAACACCAGUGGCGAAGGCGGCUUUCUGGUCUGUAACUGACGCUGAUGUGCGAAAGCGUGGGGAUCAAACAGGAUUAGAUACCCUGGUAGUCCACGCCGUAAACGAUGAGUGCUAAGUGUUAGGGGGUUUCCGCCCCUUAGUGCUGCGGCUAACGCAUUAAGCACUCCGCCUGGGGAGUACGACCGCAAGGUUGAAACUCAAAGGAAUUGACGG
rnacentral:rRNA from 1 species